GGAGACAUAGUACAUUUUAAGUUUUCUCUCACCUGAAGGAAAAUCUUUGUUGGAAGAGCACAGAAGCUAUGAAUUCAAGGUCUUAACGAUUUAACUUUUCUGAGUUUCAGUAAAUAAUGUGAAGGUCAUUGUGAUAUUAACAGGAAAUAUGUGAAAACAUUUUGUAAACUAUAAAUUGCUAUAUAAUGCAUUUUUUCCUAUUUUAUCACCUUCCUUUAUAGGAAAAUAAAAAAAUAAAGAAAUAAUCUUUAGUCAAUAGAGUGAGGUUCACAAAACUUCUGGUCCCCUGGACCAAGCCAGAUCUGACCUUGGUCUUAACUCCAUCCAGUUCUCAAAGCUUAUUGCCCUGCCCUGGUGUUCUGGUUAUCCUGUUAUCCUAUUAAAAGCUUUGAAGAGCAAAGAGGAAUGCAUUCCCUAAACUUGAUGAAAUUCUCUUGUGUGCAGCCCUACAAAUGCUAAUAGAAUAUUCAGGGAAAGAGGUCACAAGAAGUUCUUUGUGAGGUGAAAUUUGGAAUGAUAGUGUCCUUCCUGAGAGCAUCAUUUCAUUUGCUUGGUUAGCACAAAAUGCAUCUUUCCCUUUACACGUGGCCUGAUCCUGUGGCCGGACACUUAGCUAGGUUGAGUGUGAGCGAAUCACUUAUGCUUCCUCAACUUCAUCUGCUCUCUCUGUUAAAGGGGGCUGGUGAUAACUUGCUCACUGAAUCCAGCGGGCUGGGCCAGAGUCAGCUCUGCUGAUGUGCUUUUUUGGUACUAAGACUUGAGAUCCUCAAACCUUACCACAGGACGCUACUUCCUCUCACAUCUUCACAAUUUCAAGGAACUCCCCAUUCAGACUCUGGCCUUGUCAAAAGAAGGACGUAAGAAGGCACGAUGUAUUAUACUUGGGAAUGAUAGAAGAGACUGAC
rnacentral:lncRNA from 1 species